rnacentral:rRNA from 1 species
ACGAACGCUGGCGGCAGGCCUAACACAUGCCAGUCGAGCGAGGACUUCGGUUCUAGCGGCGGACGGGUGAGUAACGCGUGGGAAUGUGCCCUUCUCUACGGAAUAGCCCUGGGAAACUGGGAGUAAUACCGUAUACGCCCUAUUGGGGAAAGAUUUAUCGGAGAAGGAUCAGCCCGCGUUGGAUUAGGUAGUUGGUGGGGUAAUGGCCUACCAAGCCGACGAUCCAUAGCUGGUUUGAGAGGAUGAUCAGCCACACUGGGACUGAGACACGGCCCAGACUCCUACGGGAGGCAGCAGUGGGGAAUCUUAGACAAUGGGGGCAACCCUGAUCUAGCCAUGCCGCGUGAGUGAUGAAGGCCUUAGGGUUGUAAAGCUCUUUCAGCUGGGAAGAUAAUGACGGUACCAGCAGAAGAAGCCCCGGCUAACUCCGUG